rnacentral:lncRNA from 1 species
AUGGGGCCCAGCCCGCGGCAGGGAGAGAAAGGGCAGGUGGAGGGGCGGCGGGAGCGGCGGGGCAGGCCGGGCCCGCGGCCAUGGCGACCAGAGGGGCAGCCCGGAGGGUCCCAGGAACGGGGCGCGGGGGGCGGGGUGAGGGGGGCGUGCGCUCCUUCCACACCCAGCUCGGCGCCGCCCCCCACCCCCACCGCCCCCGGGACACACACACCUGAGGCUGGACCACACACGGGCGCGCGCGCACACACUCCAGCCACACUUGCUGCACGGCUCAGCUUACUACACACUUACCCAGACGGCGUGCGUGGGGGGGAGCCCGCAGCUCGCGCUCCGAGCGCACCCCUCCAGGCCCGGCAACUCUUAAGGCAGGGGCGGGCCUCACCCCCGCGCGCAGCCCCCCGGCUCGUCCCACAACUUCUCCCGACGCACAACUCCGCGCUGGGUUCAGCCCUGCGGCCCCUGCAUUCCCCCCUCAACGCCCCCGCCAAGUCCCCUGUGCCCCACAGCCCCUGCACGCACACACACAGACACACACACACCCCCUGCGCGCGCGCGCACACACACCCCUGCGCGCGCACACACGCACACACACCCUGCGCGCGCGCACGCACACACACACCCUGCACACAGACACACAUACACGCACGCCCGGGCACACACAGAUGGCCCAGCGGAGCCCCCCGCCCCGGCCCCACCACACCCCCACUGGAAAGGCGCAGGGAGCCACGCCAGCACGACACGCCUGCUGCUCCCCCGUCUCAGUUGCGGCGAAAGAAGAAACCAGAAGAGAUGCCCGCGCGGAGGGGACGGCGGGGGCAGAGAAGACGGAGGAGGGGCCCGGCCCGCCCCCGGCCCUCGCCGAGAGGAUGCGCCCCCCCAGUGCGCGGCGCUGGCCCUCGGGGCGCCCCGAUACCUACACGCCAAGCCUCCUUCCGCUCCUCGGCCCGCCGCCUCCCUCUUCCCGGGCCCUUUCUCUGCCCUCCCCGCCCCGGCGCCCCCCGCCCCCCCCGCCGCCCCACGCCCCCCGCCCGCCGCCCUCCGGGGCCGGGCUCGGGCCCCGCGGCGUCCGCGGCCGAGACGGGGGCGGGGGGCGCCGGGCGCCGCGCCCGCGCCGGGCCCCCCGCGCCCCCUUCUCCUUCCACACUCCCUGCCGUCCAUCUUGAAUACUUGGGAUUCUUGAAUGGAGUGAGCAGGAUCCGCUGCCCCAGGCUCCCAUUGGCUGCGGGUUCACCCUUUUGA